AGAGUUUGAUCAUGGCUCAGAACGAACGCUGGCGGCGCGCCUAACACAUGCAAGUCGAACGGGGUACUUAGCGUGGAUCACUUCGGUGUGAAGCACUUUGUUACCUAGUGGCGGACGGGUGAGUAACACAUAGGUAACCUGCCCUUAGGAUUGGGAUACUCCCGGGAAACCGGGCACAAUACCGAAUAUCAUUGCAAGAUUAUGUUUUGUAAUGAAAGCUGCGAGCAAUCGUGGCGCCUAAGGAUGGGCCUGUGGCCUAUCAGCUUGUUGGUGAGGUAAUGGCUCACCAAGGCUAAGACGGGUAGCCGGACUGAGAGGUCGAUCGGCCACACUGGAACUGAGACACGGUCCAGACUCCUACGGGAGGCAGCAGUGGGGAAUUUUGCGCAAUGGGCGAAAGCCUGACGCAGCGACGCCGCGUGGGGGAAGAAGGCCUUCGGGUUGUAAACUCCUUUAGUACGGGAAGAAGCCUUCGGGUGACGGUACCGUAAGAAUAAGCCACGGCUAACUCUGUGCCAGCAGCCGCGGUAAUACAGAGGUGGCAAGCGUUGUUCGGAUUUACUGGGCUUAAAGGGCGUGUAGGCGUCCCAACAAGUCAGAUGUGGAAGCCCUGGGCUUAACCCAGGAAGUGCAUUUGAAACUGUCGGGAUUGAGUCGUGCAAGGGAGGGCGGAAUUCCUGGUGUAGCGGUGAAAUGCGUAGAUAUCAGGAGGAAGGCCGGUGGUGAAGACGGCCCUCUAGGCAAUGACUGACGCUGAGGCGCGAAAGCGUGGGUAGCAAACAGGAUUAGAUACCCUGGUAGUCCACGCCCUAAACGGUGCGUACUAGGUGUGGGUGGCGAUAGUCAUCCGUGCCGAAGGGAAACCAUUAAGUACGCCGCCUGGGGAGUACGGCCGCAAGGUUGAAACUCAAAUGAAUUGACGGGGGCCCGCACAAGCGGUGGAGCAUGUGGUUUAAUUCGACGCUACGCGCAGAACCUUACCUAGGCUUGACAUGUUAGUGGUAGGAACCCGAAAGGGUGACGACCUAUUCUUCGGAAUAGGAGCUUUCACAGGUGCUGCAUGGCUGUCGUCAGCUCGUGCCGUGAGGUGUUGGGUUAAGUCCCGCAACGAGCGCAACCCUCAUCAUCUGUUGCCCUUAACGGGGCUCUCUGAUGAAACUGCCGGCGAAGAGCCGGAGGAAGGUGGGGAUGACGUCAAGUCCGCAUGGCCCUUAUGCCUAGGGCUACACACGUGCUACAAUGGCAGAUACAAAGGGUGGCCAAGCCGCGAGGUGGAGCCAAUCUCAUAAAGUCUGUCCAAGUUGGGAUCGGAGUCUGCAAUUUGACUCCGUGAACCUGGAAUCGCUAGUAAUCGUGGAUCAGCACGCCACGGUGAAUACGUUCCCGGGCCUUGUACACACCGCCCGUCACACCACGAAAGUCUGCUGUACCCGAAGUAGGUGAGCCAACCAGCAAUUGAGGCAGCUUCCUAAGGUAUGGCCGGUAAUUGGGGUGAAGUCGGAACAAGGUA
rnacentral:rRNA from 1 species